AAAGAUUUCAAUUACACAGCUACGGCAUUUUCUCCCUUUCUUAAUAACAAACACGCUACAGAAGAAUGUUUGUCACUGUAAUUAUUGUCCAGGCAAAGAUUGCGAAUUCCAGCCAGAUGAGACAGGAGCCUAUCUGAUUGACAGAGACCCCACCUACUUUGGUCCUAUCCUCAACUACCUCCGCCACGGGAAACUAAUCAUCACUAAGGAGUUGGCAGAAGAAGGUGUGCUGGAGGAAGCGGAGUUUUACAACAUCGCGUCCCUUGUGCGGCUGGUUAAGGAAAGGAUACGGGACAAUGAGAACAGAACUUCACAAGGCCCCGUGAAGCACGUGUACAGAGUCCUGCAGUGUCAGGAAGAAGAGCUCACGCAGAUGGUGUCCACGAUGUCCGACGGCUGGAAAUUCGAACAGCUCAUCAGCAUCGGAUCUUCCUAUAACUACGGCAAUGAGGAUCAGGCAGAAUUCCUCUGUGUUGUCUCCAGAGAACUAAAUAAUUCUACCAAUGGCAUCGUCAUAGAGCCGAGCGAAAAGGCGAAGAUUCUUCAGGAGAGAGGAUCGCGGAUGUAAACUAAGACCCCGAAAACUCCAGACCUUCAGGAGAGCAGUCAGCAGAGC
rnacentral:sRNA from 1 species